UACGAAGGGGGCUAGCGUUGCUCGGAAUUACUGGGCGUAAAGCGCACGUAGGCGGUCUUUUAAGUCGGGGGUGAAAUCCUGGAGCUCAACUCCAGAACUGCCUUCGAUACUGGAAGACUUGAGUCCGGGAGAGGUGAGUGGAACUGCGAGUGUAGAGGUGAAAUUCGUAGAUAUUCGCAAGAACACCAGUGGCGAAGGCGGCUCACUGGCCCGGUACUGACGCUGAGGUGCGAAAGCAUGGGUAGCGAACAGG
rnacentral:rRNA from 1 species